rnacentral:rRNA from 1 species
UACGUAGGGUGCAAGCGUUGUCCGGAAUUAUUGGGCGUAAAGAGCUCGUAGGCGGUCUGUCGCGUCGGAUGUGAAACCCAGGGCUCAACCCUGGGCCUGCAUUCGAUACGGGCAGACUAGAGUUCGGUAGGGGAGACGUGGAAUUCCUGGUGUAGCGGUGAAAUGCGCAGAUAUCAGGAGGAACACCGGUGGCGAAGGCGGCUCUCUGGACCGCACUGACGCUGAGGCGGCGAAAGCUAGGGGAGCAAACAG